GUGCAGUGACCUGGUCUACGGCAA
rnacentral:siRNA from 1 species